rnacentral:rRNA from 1 species
UACGUAGGGUGCGAGCGUUGUCCGGAAUUAUUGGGCGUAAAGAGCUUGUAGGCGGUUUGUCGCGUCUGCUGUGAAAUCCGGGGCUCAACCCCGGACUUGCAGUGGGUACGGGCAGACUAGAGUGUGGUAGGGGAGACUGGAAUUCCUGGUGUAGCGGUGGAAUGCGCAGAUAUCAGGAGGAACACCGAUGGCGAAGGCAGGUCUCUGGGCCACUACUGACGCUGAGAAGCGAAGCAUGGGGAGCGAACAGG